GACGAACGCUGGCGGCGUGCUUAACACAUGCAAGUCGAACGGAAAGGCCCUGCUUACAGGGUACUCGAGUGGCGAACGGGUGAGUAACACGUGGGUGAUCUGCCCUGCACUUCGGGAUAAGCUUGGGAAACUGGGUCUAAUACCGGAUAGGAGCCAUCUUUAGUGUGGUGGUUGGAAAGUUUUUUCGGUGUAGGAUGAGCUCGCGGCCUAUCAGCUUGUUGGUGGGGUAAUGGCCUACCAAGGCGGCGACGGGUAGCCGGCCUGAGAGGGUGUACGGCCACAUUGGGACUGAGAUACGGCCCAGACUCCUACGGGAGGCAGCAGUGGGGAAUAUUGCACAAUGGGCGCAAGCCUGAUGCAGCGACGCCGCGUGGGGGAUGAAGGCCUUCGGGUUGUAAACUCCUUUCGCUAGGGACGAAGCUUUUUUGUGACGGUACCUAGAUAAGAAGCACCGGCUAACUACGUG
rnacentral:rRNA from 1 species